rnacentral:misc_RNA from 1 species
UUUCCGUAGGUGAACCUGCGGAGGGAUCAUUACUGAGUGAGGGUCUCCGGGCCCGACCUCCAACCCCAUGUGAACCGAAACCUGUUGCUUCGGGGCGACCCUGCCUCUCGGCGCGGCGCCCCCGGAGGCUCAUCAAACACUGCAUCUUUGCGUCGGAGUCUUAAUGAAUUUAAACAAAACUUUUAACAACGGAUCUCUUGGUUAUGGCAUCGAUGAAGAACGCAGC